UGAAGUGAUGCUCCUAUGCCAUCAACUCCGCUGGACUGGCCACAUUGUCCGAAUACCCGAUUGCUGUCUCCCAAAGCAGCUACUCUACUCCGAACUCAAGAAUGGGAAACAUAAUGUUGGUGGGCAGGAAAAGAGAUUUAAAGAUGGGCUUAAAGCCAACCUUAAAAACUGUGGCAUAGACACUGAGAACUGGGAAGCCCUGGCCCUUGAGCACUCUAAUUGGAAGUCAGCUGUGACCAGCAGUGCUGCGGAGUUUGAAGAGGCACGAAUGGAGGGCUUAAGGGAGAAACGUGCCAAGAAGAAGGCCCGUCAAGCCAACUCUGACCGGGACCGCCUUCCACCUGGAAACCGAUGUCCUCACUGUGGCAGAACAUGCAGAUCAAGAAUAGGUCUCUUCAGCCACCUAAGAACCCACCCCCAAGACAACAGAGAUGGAAGACAAUCCUCCUCGAACUAUGAGGGAUCGCCUAAGUAAGUAAGUAAGUAAGUGACACAAGUCCGGUGUUAUUUGGUUCACCUCUGCCUGCUUAUCAGCAGAGCCCUGGAUCCUGACAAAGAGCAAUAAUUUCAGGGAUCUCUCUACACUUGAGAGGUAAUAUAAAGUAUGAUGGCAUGCUCCCCACUACUAGCCCACUUGGAACAGUUAGCUAAUGGUUUUGGCCUACCCUGUGUUUCUCUUAGAGAAAGGGGAAACAAGUUUCACCAAAAACUACAUGGGGAGAAGGUGCGGGAUGAAGGUAAACAAACUGAAAUUUAAUCAAGACAAGACAGAGAUUCUUCUGGUCAGACAAAAGUCUGGACUAAAUAGGGUUACACUUCCCCUAAUGAUGCAGGUCUAAAGCUUGGGUGUGCUCCUGGAUUCAGUUCAAGACUGGAAACUCAGGGCCUGUCAGUGGCCAGGAGUACUUCAACUACACAAUUCCUUAAGAUGUCACACCUGGCCAUAGUGACACAUGUCUUAGCUACAUCCCAUUUGGAAUACUAUGAAACAUUCUACAUGUUAACUUGGGCUGGAUACAGGGGGCACCCAAUUCCCUUGUUAAAACACCUUCACUGGCUACCAGUACUUUCUGGGGAAAAUAUAAAGUGACCAUAAUGAUGUAUGAAGCCCUAUACAGUUGAGAUCCAGGUUAUCUGAAGGACCAUGCUCUUCUCCACGAAUAUCGUGUGUUUUGAGAUUUUCUGUGAAGGAUCUCUUCUUUGUCCUAUCAAUCUCACAGGAAUACUUAGUGAAAACCAUCCACUCUAUUUUUCUACAAGCUGGUCCUGAAGGCCAGAUCCCUUGAGAAGUAGUUCAACACCUCAGGCCUCACAAGCUGACCAAAAAUCAACAGUGUGAUGUGGAAGCUAAAAAGCCACUGCAAUUCUAGGCUUCAUUAAUAAGAAUAUCGUGUUUAGAUCAGGGGAAGGAAUAGUUCUAUUCUAUUCUGCUUUGGAUUCAAACAGCAGGAAAAGAGAUUCCACCUGAACAUUAGAAUAAACUUCUUGAUUGUAAGAGCUGCUCAAAAAUAAAAUAUGUUGCUUUGAAGUGUGGUGGAGGUUCUCUGGAGGUUUUUUGUUGAGGCUGGAUGACCAUCUCUCAGAAGUGUUUUGAUUGGGUGUUUUCUGCAUGGCAGGGAAUUAGACUGGAUGGCCUUUGUGGUCUCUUUCAGCUAUAUAAUUCUAUGAUUUCAUGAUUAUCUUCCAAGCAUAAAAAACAAUGUUGCAUAUUGACAUUUUAUAUGAAUGGUGUUAACUUUCUGGACUGUUUACUUCAAAAGGAAAAUAAUUAUAGGAGUGAGGAUAGUGUUAUUUACUAUGGUAUUGUUCAGAAUGGCCACCUGUCUAGCAAAAUGUUGAGUAGGUAAUUUGUAAGGGAACUAGGCUAAUUUUUAAAAAAAAUCAAUUGUGAUACUAUGUACAUAUAUUACACUUUUGGUAACAUGGAAAUAUGGCUGCAUGGACUUCAAGAUAGCCACUAGACUUUGUGAAAACAAAAACUUAUUGCCAUGGCUCAGUGGUCUAAACCAGUGUGGGCCAACCCGCAUACAGCUCACCAAUUCAUUUUUGUUGGCCCUUGCCCUUCUUACUGGAAACAUAUUUUAAUUUAACAUUUGGAAAAAAAAUGUUUAUCCUUCUUACUGCUUUAGGUUUUAAAAAACGUUUUCUUUCUGGAAUGUCUCUGGCCCUCACAUUCCUAUACUAAAGUUUGAUUGGCCCUUGGGUAACUAAAGGUUGGACCACACU